rnacentral:rRNA from 1 species
AUUGAACGCUGGCGGCAGGCUUAACACAUGCAAGUCGAGCGAGCGGCGGACGGGUGAGUAAUGUCUGGGAAACUGCCUGAUGGAGGGGGAUAACUACUGGAAACGGUAGCUAAUACCGCAUACCAUCAGAUGUGCCCAGAUGGGAUUAGCUAGUAGGUGGGGUAAUGGCGCACCUAGGCGACGAGCCCUAGCUGGUCUGAGAGGGUGCCCGGCAAAACUGGAACUGAGACACGGUCCGGAUUCCAACGGGAGGCAGCAGUGGGGAAUAUUGCACAAUGGGGGCAAGCCUGAUGCAGCCAUGCCGCGUGUGUGAAGAAGGCCUUCGGGUUGUAAAGCACUUUCAGCGAGGAGGCGUUACUCUCAGAAGAAGCAACGGCUAACUCCGUGCCAGCAGCCGCGGUAAUAC